rnacentral:rRNA from 1 species
GGACUACAAGGGUUUCUAAUCCCGUUUGCUCCCCUAGCUUUCGCGCCUCAGCGUCAGAAGAGGUCCAGUACGCCGCUUUCGCCACCGGCGUUCCUUCUGAUAUCAACGCAUUUCACCGCUCCACCAGAAGUUCCGCAUACCCCUACCUCCCUCCAGCUCGCCAGUAUCAAAGGCACUUCUGCAGUUAAGCUGCAGGAUUUCACCGCUGACUUGGCAAGCCGCCUACGCGCCCUUUAAGCCCAGUGAUUCCGAACAACGUUCGCACGGUUCGUCUUACCGCGGCUGCUGGCAC